AGAGAGAGAGAGAGAGAAAGAGAGAGAGAGACUCAUGACCUAAUUAUUUCCCAAAGGCCCUGUUUCCAAAUAUCAUCUCAGUGGAAUUAGGGUUUUAACAUACAAAUUUUGGGGGCGACGCAAGUAUUUUUAGUCCAUACCAAGUUAGAUGCAACUUUACCAAAAUUAUUGUGGGUAAUUUGACAAGGUAAGAGAGGUCAGUGAAACGCAAAUUAUAUGAUAACUUCUUGGUGCUCAGGCAGUAUACCUGCCAGGUUGUCUCCUGGCUAGAGGAAUGAAACAAGUAGUAUUCAACAAGACUUUGGUAGUGAGUAAAACAUGGCAUAUAAGUUGUUUUUUGUGGGAAUGACAUAGUCUAAAUAUUAUUUUGAUGACAUACCUGUGUAUUGACCUCUCUUGCAUCAAAAUGACAUAAACAUGGAGAAAUAAUUCUGAAAGUCAGCAGGAACUUGCAACUCACUUCUGGGAGGGGACCACUUAGGGGAACUAUGAUAUUAGACUGUGGCAAUGUCGACCUCCACACAGGAGGAAAGAGUAGUCACAUACCCUAAAUCUUGCGUAACGUGGUGUCUUAAAAUUUCAAUAAAUCUACUGAGUUAAAUUAACAGCAAAGCAGAAAAAUUUCCCAAAGCUAUUUAUAGCUCCACUAAAAUGGAAGACAAGUUAAGAAAAUGUGUGUUCUAAAUAAUCAUGUCAGAAGUUAGUGUUUCCUUCAAAUAUAAUCAUAGGCCUAAGAAUUUUUAUCCAAGAUUGAUGAAAUUUUAUUUUACGCAACAAUAAAUGGAACACAAAGGCUGCACAUCAUUUUUUUGUCUUCUGUACAUAUCACUAAAAAAAAAAAGCAUCAAACUAAAACAAUGAAUAUAAUAUUAAAUAGGGAUUUUUUAAUUGCUAAUAUUUUUAAUAUAGAGAAAGAAUAAUGUUUAAUGAUUAAUUACAAAAUUGAUGAACUAGAAUAGUGAGAAAUCAAGGAGAGCUGAAAUUUAUGGAACUUUAUGAUAAACUAAUAAAGGACAAUUUUAUUCCUAGCAUUUUAAUUAUUUGCUUUAUCAUUGCAUUUUAAAUGCAAUUAUCAAAAAUAAAGGUUAUAACUAAGAAUUUCAAAAAUUCUCAUUGUAGCAGAAUUGGUAACAAAGAAUUGAAUACAGAGGGUGAAUCUUAUAUUGCUUUAUUAUUAUUAAAACUAAGGAAAUAUUUAGAAUUUUGUGUACUAAUUUAGCUACGAAGGAAAAGGAGGGCGUCAUCAUUUUAAAAAUGUUUCCACAUUGUCUACAGAAGCCUAGAUUAUUAAAAAAAAGAGUGGCCUCAGAUAGAUAUCUGAUUGGAAUACACUACAAAAUCUAGUAGUCAACUUGUUAAGAUAUCUGAAGAUUCCAUUUAAGACAGAUUGUGAAAAAAUAUACUGGAAGAAAUAGAUUUUAUUUAAUAUCCUUAAACAUAAAACUUUGUUACCUUCUAAAACGCUAUAUUUAGUUUUAUUUCUAUUUUAUAAUAUUGUAUAUGAUGUGCUUUCUUUUCCAGGUAAAACUAACAAAAGACAAUAAAAUGUUAUUAACUUGAGUUAUGGUUAAAGUAGAAGAGCUGUGGAUAUUACACUACAUGAAAAAAAAUUCUUCCACAGAUAUUAUUUGUGUAUGCAUACAUCGAUAGAGAUACACAUAGAUAGAUACAGAUACAGAUAGAUAUCGAUAUAGAUAUAGACUUGGCUAUAGAGACUGUGGGUUUUUUAAUACAGCAAGAAAAGAGAAAUAUUUAUUUACACUGGAUCAACAAAGGAACUAGGCUAUUAACUCAGAUUGUAAUAGUCUAAAAUUUUUCCAAAAAUUAGGAAAAAUAAAAUAUUUAUAUGAAUUUUACCUGGAAGUGUUUCAAAAUAGUUUGCAAAGAGUGAGAAUGAAUUUCAACUUGUGAGUAAAGGGUAAAACUGAAAUGAAAGUUAAAACAAAUAGUUUCCCCCUUUCAUUAUUAGAUCAUGAUUUAUUGAAAACAAUCUUGAUUGUUAAAUAUUGAUUAAAAUUAAUGAAGGUGCAGAGUUCCUAAGACCUUGUCAUUUGAACGUUAUGAAUAUCUUCACAAUGAAAACAUUAUUCGUGUUAUUUAUGUGAGCUUAUAUGUACUUUUCCGCAUAAAUAAUUUGUACUCUUAGUUAGAAACAAAUGAACUAUGGCUUUUGGUUUGGUUUUGUUUAUUUAUGAAUAAACAUUAAGAACUGUGCUUAUGAAAUUUUCAGGAAAUAUACUGAAUGCUUUAAUGUACUCUGUAACAUUGCAACAUAUAAUUUCCCCUCUUCCCUCACUUUUUGAUGUAGCUAUCAUUGCUUUGAGUUUUUAUUUACUGGUUAUUUUAAAGAGCUUAAUGGUCUCAUUUACUUAAAAGUGGAAUAAUAUUGGACUACUAUUUUCUUUUUUUAACCUCUCUAGGUCAUUCUACAGUCAUUACCUUCCAGCCUAUUUGUUUCUGCAGAAUCUACAUAUACUGUUGUAUCUACCUCAAAAUGCAAACACCAAUGAAGUAAUUCAUCAGAAGACUUGAUAUGAAUAAAGAAUGGAACAGUAAAGUUGAAGAUAAAAAACAUAGAAAUUGAAUAACAAAUACAAGUAAGAAACAAGAAGAGUGAUAAAUAGCAGAACAUGGCAUCCAAGAGCUGAAGGACAGCUCUGGAUGCCUAACUUGAACGGAUUCAUGAAAGAGAACAAGGAUGAUAAAUACUUAAAAACAAAAUGAAUGAGAAUUUUCCAAAAGAAGUGAAGGCAAUCAAAUCGUAAAUCCAAGAAACAUUUCUAGAGAUAUAGGGGCUACGUAAACAAACUAAAAAAAAGGUAAAAAAUUAUAUGAAGACAAACAUAGUUGUGUUGUAUGUAUUAUAUAGUUAAAUAUACGUUAUACACAGGCACGAAGAAAAGAAGUACAGGAAACCUGUCCUCAAGAACUAUUUAACUGUAUACUGGAAAUUUUAACCAGUGUACUAAAGUAAGAAAAAUAAACAAAAGGCAUACAAAUUGGAUACGAAGAAAUAAAACUCUAUUUGAUUCGUGGAUGGUCUAUGCACAGUAUUCCAUUAUGUACAAAAUAAUUAAAAUUAUUAGCAGUGAAGCUGCUAGAAAUAAAUUG
rnacentral:lncRNA from 1 species